AAAGAGAAAGAGAAAGAGAGAGAGAGAGAGAGAAAAUGAUAUUAGGAAAUUUCUGUCCACCUUGAGAAAACGAUGUUUAACGAUCAAUGUAAAUUGUAUCUAAGCUAAAUUGAAUUUAAUACGAGAACACAAGUUAUUCCGUCUUACCAGUUCUGCGUUAACACGUACACUGAGAUAAUUCUAAAGUCUAGAGAUAUAGAUAUGUUUGUAUGUAUGUAAAUAUAUAACAGAAGUCCUUUAUCGUUCUUCACCUUUCACGUAGCAAGGACGAAACAUAACAAAACUUUUCUAUUGACUGAUCGAGCUAAACGAUAUUACGUCAUUCGAGAGAGAAAUAGAGAUAACACACGUGCGUGUGUGUGUGUGUGUGUGUGUGAGGGAGAGAGAGAGAGAGAGAGAGAGAGAGAGAGAGAUUUACUUGGAAUUGGAAAAUGAUUUGUAUACAAAAUAAUUCAUACGUUUAAGCAAGACAGUUAAGAAAAACAUUGGCAGAGAAAAUAUAGAACGGCAUGGUUCUAGAAAGAAAGAGAAAAACGAUGUACGUACGUACCAUCGCAUGCAUGCAUGCAUGCAUGCAUGUAUGUAUGUAUGUAUGUAAGAAAAUAAAAGAAAGAGAGACAGAAAGAGAGAAAAAGGGACGACGAGUCGCGCCAAUUACGAACUCGUUCGAAGACAGCCAUUAAGAGUCUCGACAAACAAACGACUUUCCCUUUUUGCCAUCUCGAAGCUCGAUCGUCCUAACGACCGGCGGUACACCUUCUCGCCAACUGCGAAAGAGAGAUAGAUAGAUAGAGAAAGAGAGAGAGAGAGAGAGAGAGAGAGAGAGAAAGAUAUAUAUAUAUACAGAAAGAAAGAGAGAAAGAGAGAGAGCAAUGUUUUCUUUUUUCUUAUUCGCUCUCCUUCUACCCCUCUUAUUCCCCGAUCGGUUUCUUUGUCAAGCUUCGCGAGCCUUUGAUCUCAGAGUCAGGACGACAACGACGAUGGCGACGACGUCGACGACGACGACGACGACGACGACGACGACGAUGGCGACGACGACGACGACGACGACGAGGAGCGCAUACCGUUCGCCGAUCGUCCGGUUCGACCGGAUUUUCCACAGGGUUCUGUCGUUUGCUUGUGUGCUAAGACGAAUCGGUAACAACAGCGACAUAGGAUAUACCUAACUCUUCAACAAAUAUUCUAAACUGGGAUAUAAGGUGUCAUUGUGAAACACGCGACGAAGGAGAGCCUCGAGUAAAUCGAUCCAUCGCUCGUAUCGAAAGUCCAGGCUUGUAUUCGCCGCAAGAUAUAAAGAGCGAUACAGAAUGCUUAUAAGAACGAUAGAAACGGGCGUGAGCAAAAUGGACGCAAGAGGAAACUGCGAUGUCCGACGGUGGAGGAGAGCCGUUCUCAUGUCAUGAUAACUAAGUAUCCAGUAUCGAGAAUGUAAUGGCAUAGAACGCCAUUGCCGAUUGUGUAAAAUCGAACAUAUAGUGUAUGGACGAUAACGAUGACAACGAUGAUGAUGAUGAUGAUGAUGAUGAUGAUGAUGAUGAUGAUGAUGAUGAUGAUGACUACGACGAGGACGAGGACGAGAACGAUGAUGACGAUGACGAUGAUAAUACACAUAUACAUAUGUAUCGAGGAAACAUAGAUGAUCCACGAGUUGAGUAGGUAGUAGAACGAAGUACCGAGGACCGCCGCCGACGACGACAACAACAACGACAACGACAACAACGACAACGACAACGACAACGACAACAACGACAACGACAGCAAAGACGAUGACGACGGUUUAUCGAGGUCGACCGGUUCUCCAGCAGCCGUCAGUCGUUAAGGGACAUUGCGACACGCGCGCGCGCGUGAGCGAGCACGAGUAAGCAUAGAUAGACACACACACACACACACAUACACACAUACGUACACGUAUCACAUAUACCGCAUAUACCACAUUAAAAGGAAAAAAAGGAUAGUCUCUUUUCUAUCUCCGUGAACAGUCAGCCCUCCGUCUCUACCCUCGCCCUCCCCUUCCCACCCUUUCCAUCAAGCAAAUCCUCCCCUCCCCCGCUCCUCCUCCUACCGCUCUCCCCGCCAUGUCUUAGACGACGUGAUCGUUGACGAGCUCCGGAGAGAACUCUAGGAAUCGCAAAUAAAUUCUUAUUAGCUCGAAUGGAUAUUCGCCCGGCCCCCCUUCCCCCCACCGCAACCAUCCUCCCCCUUACCACUACUAACGAUGGAUGUUUUGCUUCUGGAUGGUGCACGACAAUGCGAUCUUUUUUCCUCUUUUUUUUUUUUGCGUUUUUUUCACGUUUUCUUGUUUCUUUUCUCGUUUAUCUCCCUUUCUUUCCUUCUCUUGCUUAUUAUUAUUAUUAUUAUUAUUAUUAUUAAUAUUAUUAUUAUUCAAAGAAAAUCGUGCACAAAGGCCACGCCUAAUCGACCCACGUUAUUUCCUUCGUCUCUUAUUGCAAUCUCGACUUAUGUAUUUAUUAUAUAAUGUAGGAUUUUGUAAUCAAAGAAAUU